GCUCAAUAUGAACAUAAUUUUCUUCAAUUCAUGACUCAUCUUAGAACUUGUAACUUACCAGUCUUAUUUUCAAAUCACGAUUUAACACUUUUAUGGCCAGUUCAGCGAAUCAAAGACUUUUAUUUUUUCUAGGAACAUGGUAGAAGUUUCUCUUGAUUGUUUGCCAUUGGCUUAUAUAAUGCAUCUGGAAUUGUUGCUUAGCUUUCUAUUAUCCACUUUGAAAAUCAACUUAAGGAUUAUUUAUAGU
rnacentral:misc_RNA from 1 species